GGAGUCUGGGCCGUGUCUCAGUCCCAAUGUGGCCGUUCAACCUCUCAGUCCGGCUACUGAUCGUCGGCUUGGUGGGCCGUUACCUCACCAACUACCUAAUCAGACGCGAGCUCAUCUUUCAGCGAUAAAUCUUUGAUAACAGAAUCAUGCGGUCCCGUUAUGUUAUGCGGUAUUAUCAGUCGUUUCCAACUGCUAUCCCCCUCUGAAAGGCAGAUUGCUCACGUGUUACUCACCCGUCCGCCACUAAGUUAUUUAAGCAAGCUCAAAUAACUCCGUUCGACUUGCAUGUGUUAAGCGUGCCGCCAGCGUCGUCUGAGCCACUGAUCAAACUACU
rnacentral:rRNA from 1 species